rnacentral:lncRNA from 1 species
GUAAGUAUUAUGCCAUAGGUCCAAUCAACUUUGGACAUAAAUACUUUUGAUAUAUAAUUAAUGCAAUUUAAUGGCAGAUCUAUUAUUUAAUUAAUAGACAAUUAAAUAAAUAAUAGAGUCCGUAGAUUCAAAUCUUCGUAAUUUGUUAAUCACAAGGAGUUGUGAUUGUGAGAUACAAAUUACAUAUGAUUGAAUCUUAAAUCGUCC